ACGAAGGGUGCAAGCGUUAAUCGGAAUUACUGGGCGUAAAGCGCGCGUAGGUGGUUCAGUAAGUUGAAUGUGAAAUCCCCGGGCUCAACCUGGGAACUGCAUCCAAAACUGCUGAACUAGAGUACGGUAGAGGGUAGUGGAAUUUCCUGUGUAGCGGUGAAAUGCGUAGAUAUAGGAAGGAACACCAGUGGCGAAGGCGACUACCUGGACUGGUACUGACACUGAGGUGCGAAAGCGUGGGGAGCAAACAGG
rnacentral:rRNA from 1 species